UACGGAGGGUGCAAGCGUUAUCCGGAAUCACUGGGUUUAAAGGGUACGUAGGCGGCGGUAUAAGUCAGACGUCAAAGGCCAAGGCUAAACCUUGGUACGCGUUUGAAACUGUACGGCUUGAAUAUGUUCGAGGUGCAUGGAAUGCUUCAUGUAGCGGUGAAAUGCAUAGAUAUGAAGUAGAACACCAAUUGCGAAGGCAGUGCACUAGGGCAUUAUUGACGCUGAGGUACGAAAGCGUGGGUAGCGAACAGG
rnacentral:rRNA from 1 species